rnacentral:rRNA from 1 species
UACGGAGGGAGCUAGCGUUGUUCGGAAUUACUGGGCGUAAAGCGCGCGUAGGCGGCUUCGUAAGUUAGAGGUGAAAGCCCGGGGCUCAACCCCGGAACUGCCUUUAAAACUGCAUCGCUUGAAUCCGGGAGAGGUGAGUGGAAUUCCGAGUGUAGAGGUGAAAUUCGUAGAUAUUCGGAAGAACACCAGUGGCGAAGGCGGCUCACUGGACCGGCAUUGACGCUGAGGUGCGAAAGCGUGGGGAGCAAACAGG